AUAAAAACAAAGAAAAGUGUCCAAUGUCUUUUCCAUACAGGAAUCCUUUCUACAAUAUCCCUGAAGGGCUAUUAUCAAAUCUCCACUGGAAUAAUAUCCAUGACAAAGUUGACCACAGCCUUAGGGGAGAGCUCUCGCUGGGAAUUGGUGUGCCUCACGGCUUCAGCAGUGUCAUGGAAAAAGUGAUGACCUUACAUUCAUAAGUCUCCAGGUCCUAGUCCUGCUACCUACUAUGUGUUUGACCUUGGGUAAGUCAUAGCCUCCUUGUGCUUGAUCUUUCUCAUCUGUAAAAUUUUAUAAUACAUGAGGUGUACACCUCAUGGAGCUAUCAGGAAGAUUAAGGUGAUAACAUAUGGGAAAGUGUUUUGUAAAUGAUAGAGUUCUGUAUAAAUACAAGAUACUAUUAUUGUUUGAAGAAGCAGAGUGUUGGAGUUAGACAAACUUGGUUUCUAAUCAUGGCCCUACUGUGCGAGCUGUGUGACAUUAAGCAAUUAUGUAAUCUGAAUUUCAAUCUUUUCAUUUAUAAAGUAGAGAUAAUAAUUAAGAUCUAACAGAUGUGUUGGGAGGAUAAAAGAGGAAAAUGUUCCUGGAAUACUGCCUGGAACCCAGUAGGUCCUCAGUAAAUGUUAUCUCCCUUUCCCUUCCCUGUUGCAGGUUCAAAUGCCUUUAUUUUCUUAAAUCAGAAUAAUUCCCACCAUUCUCUUGCCCAGAAAUAGCCAAGAUGAAUCGUGAUAGUAUGAUGAAACAACAAAGCAGCAAAUCAGCAAUAAGACACAAAUCAUGGUGUUUUCCCAUCCAUUAACAAUCUCUCAUUGCGCUGGAACCAUCUAUUGCAAAUUUCAUCAAAUGCCAAAUAAACAGCCAAGGAAACAGCA
rnacentral:lncRNA from 12 species